AUACAGUAACCCUGAUGAUUUCUAUUUUUAAGAUUUUACCAUUUUUGCGUUCAUGUACUUACAACGUAUUUUUGUCGGAAUUAGUAAUUGUUUUAGAUAUGUAUAUUGAUAAUGAACAUACUUGUAUCACAUUUUUACAACGUAUAAUUUCUUUUUAAAAUGUUCCAUAAAAGAGGGUCUGAUUGGGGUUUACGGAAUACAGAAUAAUGGGCAAAAAUUGCAGAAUAAAAUGCAAAAAAGAAAAAAAAAGAAAAAGUGUAUAAUGAGGUGCUAAAAUAUAAAGAAUAAAGAAUAUUGGUAAUACUAAAUAAAAAUUUAUGAUAAUUAUCCAGACUCUUAUGAUAAAAAGAAUCUAUCAAUACGAAACACAUAAUCAUCGUGCAUAAUCAACACGAAGAACG
rnacentral:lncRNA from 1 species